GUGAGGAAUAUUGGUCAAUGGGCGGGAGCCUGAACCAGCCAAGUCGCGUGAAGGAAGAAGGAUCUAUGGUUCGUAAACUUCUUUUGCAGGGGAAUAAAGUGCAGGACGUGUCCUGUUUUGUAUGUACCCUGAGAAUAAGGAUCGGCUAAUUCCGUGCCAGCAGCCGCGGUAAUACGGAAGGUCCAGGCGUUAUCCGGAUUUAUUGGGUUUAAAGGGAGCGUAGGUGGUUUGAUAAGUCAGCGGUGAAAGUUUGCAGCUUAACUGUAAAAAUGCCGUUGAAACUGUCGGACUUGAGUGUAAAUGAGGUAGGCGGAAUGCGUGGUGUAGCGGUGAAAUGCAUAGAUAUCACGCAGAACUCCGAUUGCGAAGGCAGCUUACUAAGCUACAACUGACACUGAAGCACGAAAGCGUGGGGAUCAAACAGGAUUAGAUACCCCGGUAGUCC
rnacentral:rRNA from 1 species